CAAGGGUUAGUUUAUAAAAAUAUUGGUUUUGGAGACCAAAGAUAGAAGGAUUUCUACUCUUGA
rnacentral:tRNA from 1 species